ACUUAAAUUGAAGAGUUUGAUCAUGGCUCAGAUUGAACGCUGGCGGCAGGCCUAACACAUGCAAGUCGAGCGGUAGCACAGAGAGCUUGCUCUCGGGUGACGAGCGGCGGACGGGUGAGUAAUGUCUGGGAAACUGCCUGAUGGAGGGGGAUAACUACUGGAAACGGUAGCUAAUACCGCAUAACGUCGCAAGACCAAAGUGGGGGACCUUCGGGCCUCAUGCCAUCAGAUGUGCCCAGAUGGGAUUAGCUAGUAGGUGGGGUAACGGCUCACCUAGGCGACGAUCCCUAGCUGGUCUGAGAGGAUGACCAGCCACACUGGAACUGAGACACGGUCCAGACUCCUACGGGAGGCAGCAGUGGGGAAUAUUGCACAAUGGGCGCAAGCCUGAUGCAGCCAUGCCGCGUGUGUGAAGAAGGCCUUCGGGUUGUAAAGCACUUUCAGCGGGGAGGAAGGCGWURAGGUUAAUAACCUUGKCGAUUGACGUUACCCGCAGAAGAAGCACCGGCUAACUCCGUGCCAGCAGCCGCGGUAAUACGGAGGGUGCAAGCGUUAAUCGGAAUUACUGGGCGUAAAGCGCACGCAGGCGGUCUGUCAAGUCGGAUGUGAAAUCCCCGGGCUCAACCUGGGAACUGCAUUCGAAACUGGCAGGCUAGAGUCUUGUAGAGGGGGGUAGAAUUCCAGGUGUAGCGGUGAAAUGCGUAGAGAUCUGGAGGAAUACCGGUGGCGAAGGCGGCCCCCUGGACAAAGACUGACGCUCAGGUGCGAAAGCGUGGGGAGCAAACAGGAUUAGAUACCCUGGUAGUCCACGCCGUAAACGAUGUCGAUUUGGAGGUUGUGCCCUUGAGGCGUGGCUUCCGGAGCUAACGCGUUAAAUCGACCGCCUGGGGAGUACGGCCGCAAGGUUAAAACUCAAAUGAAUUGACGGGGGCCCGCACAAGCGGUGGAGCAUGUGGUUUAAUUCGAUGCAACGCGAAGAACCUUACCUGGUCUUGACAUCCACAGAACUUWSCAGAGAUGSWUUGGUGCCUUCGGGAACUGUGAGACAGGUGCUGCAUGGCUGUCGUCAGCUCGUGUUGUGAAAUGUUGGGUUAAGUCCCGCAACGAGCGCAACCCUUAUCCUUUGUUGCCAGCGGUCCGGCCGGGAACUCAAAGGAGACUGCCAGUGAUAAACUGGAGGAAGGUGGGGAUGACGUCAAGUCAUCAUGGCCCUUACGACCAGGGCUACACACGUGCUACAAUGGCAUAUACAAAGAGAAGCGACCUCGCGAGAGCAAGCGGACCUCAUAAAGUAUGUCGUAGUCCGGAUUGGAGUCUGCAACUCGACUCCAUGAAGUCGGAAUCGCUAGUAAUCGUAGAUCAGAAUGCUACGGUGAAUACGUUCCCGGGCCUUGUACACACCGCCCGUCACACCAUGGGAGUGGGUUGCAAAAGAAGUAGGUAGCUUAACCUUCGGGAGGGCGCUUACCACUUUGUGAUUCAUGACUGGGGUGAAGUCGUAACAAGGUAACCGUAGGGGAACCUGCGGUUGGAUCACCUCCUUACCUUAAAGAA
rnacentral:rRNA from 1 species